GUGAAUCAUCAAAUUUUUGAACGCAAAUUGCGCCUUUUUCGGAAGGCAUGUCUGUGUGAGGGCACCGGUUAACAAAUAAUGUGCAUUUCGUGUGCACACGUGGAUUAUCUUUCCAAAAUUAUGUAUUAUUAUUUUUGGUGGCGCAUAAUAAACAGCGCGAUGCUUUUUUUCAGUUCUAGUGUAGUAAAAUUUUUUCUUUCUUGGGUUGUGAAAAGCGGUAUCGUGCAUUUUGUAUGACG
rnacentral:misc_RNA from 1 species